rnacentral:rRNA from 1 species
UACGUAGGGAGCGAGCGUUAUCCGGAAUUAUUGGGUGUAAAGGGUGCGUAGACGGGAAGAUAAGUUAGUUGUGAAAUCCCUCGGCUUAACUGAGGAACUGCAACUAAAACUGUUUUUCUUGAGUGCAGGAGAGGUAAGUGGAAUUCCUAGUGUAGCGGUGAAAUGCGUAGAUAUUAGGAGGAACACCAGUGGCGAAGGCGACUUACUGGACUGUAACUGACGUUGAGGCACGAAAGUGUGGGGAGCAAACAGG